UCAUGUAGUCACCCAGGAGGCCCCGAGGACGAUCCAGUAGUUGAGAGAGAGGAUCCUAGUCCUAUGGAUGCAGAGUCAUUGAAGAGAGAAAAUUCGAUGCCUGAACCUUUCCCAGAUGUUAAGGAAGAGACGCCUUGUGAGCUUCUUCACCCCGGGGAAAACACUGGUGGACAGUUGCAGUUGGUGGGGUAUGGUAGUGCACAACCUUUUGACAAGG